rnacentral:rRNA from 1 species
ACGGGGGGGGCAAGCGUUGUUCGGAAUUACUGGGCGUAAAGGGCUCGUAGGCGGCCAACUAAGUCAGACGUGAAAUCCCCCGGCUUAACCAGGGAACUGCGUCUGAUACUGGAUGGCUUGAGUUUGGGAGAGGGAUGCGGAAUUCCAGGUGUAGCGGUGAAAUGCGUAGAUAUCUGGAGGAACACCGGUGGCGAAGGCGACAUCCUGGACCGACAUUGACGCUAAACGGCGAAAGCUAGGGGAGCGAACAGGA